rnacentral:rRNA from 1 species
UACAGAGGGUGCAAGCGUUUAAUCGGAUUUACUGGGCGUAAAGCGCGCGUAGGCGGCUAAUUAAGUCAAAUGUGAAAUCCCCGAGCUUAACUUGGGAAUUGCAUUCGAUACUGGUUAGCUAGAGUGUGGGAGAGGAUGGUAGAAUUCCAGGUGUAGCGGUGAAAUGCGUAGAGAUCUGGAGGAAUACCGAUGGCGAAGGCAGCCAUCUGGCCUAACACUGACGCUGAGAGCGAAAGCGUGGGGAGCGAACAGG